rnacentral:tRNA from 4 species
GCCUGUGUGGCGCAGUGGUAGCGCUUUCCACUCGUAAUGGAAGGGUCCCGUGUUCAAUCCGCGGCGGAGGCA